UGUAGCAACUUGCACUCUCCUUCCACAGCCAGGAUGUUUUUAUUCUGGUUUCUAGUCCCCCUGCUCUAACCCACAGAACCCCACUCCCCUCUCAGAGCUAAUCAUAUAACCUUCUUUUCCAGAUAUUUUUUCCAUUAUCAGUCAAGUUUUUCCUUAUGUCCUUUCUCAUUUGUUGCUGCUGCCUGUACUUUAAAAUGACCUCAUAGAGUUAAUUGGUCUCGCUUGGCUCAUGUCUCCUCUCAUUCCUUCAUUGCUGUCUCCUCACUUCUGCCAUUUUCUUUGUUUUAAACAUUAAAAGUUAAGAGUUAUUACAAAAACCCCCAUCACAGAAAGAGAUGAAGCACCUGGAGAAAAAAGAAAUCAUCAACAUGCUUAAGGGCAAUCGGGAAUAUGAACACAAAAACCACGAUAAGAAUGUAAAAUAUCUUCAUGGCUCAAGGUCGGCCAGGUGAUCAAGAUGGUCCUUUUUUGGCAAGAGAAGAGGCACCAAGACAGACAGGAGAUGAAGAGCCCCUGUAUGAUAAUGACACAGCAGCACCAUUAUAGUUAAGCACCAUCAAAAUUCCUGGCACAUAUCAGGGAAUUAUGGAUGAAAAAAUCCCUGCCUUGAGCAAUCUGCACCUGAUAAAUUCUACUGCCUGCUCCAGUGCCAUUUGAAAUCAAAGUGACAUUGAGUUCCUGGCCAAACGUUAGCCAUGAAGAUUCUUCUUCCUGGUGGCGCAAAGCACUGAAGGGCUGAGUGAUGGCACCAGAGAUUGUCAAUGCAGAAUCUCUGGGAAUCUGGCAGAGGACACCUAGCUUCUAAAAUUAUUGAAGCCUUUUUAUCUGGACUGCAAAGAAUCUUGUGAGCUGAAGAAAACCCACAAGGGAGCCCUAGUAUUACCCAUAAUGACUUGUUAUUCUCCUUUUAAUAAAAGUAACUCCUUGUGGCUGUG